UUAAGUCUAAUGUGAAAGCCUUCGGCUCAACCGAAGAAGUGCAUUGGAAACUGGGAGACUUGAGUGCAGAAGAGGACAGUGGAACUCCAUGUGUAGCGGUGAAAUGCGUAGAUCUAUGGAAGAACACCGUGNCGAAGGCGGUUGUCUGGUCUGUAACUGACGCUGAGGCUCGAAAGCAUGGGUAGCGAACAGGAUUAGAUACCCUGGUAGUCCAUGCCGUAAACGAUGAUUACUAAGUGUUGGAGGGUUUCCGCCCUUCAGUGCUGCAGCUAACGACAUUAAGUAAUCCGCCUGGGGAGUACGACCGCAAGGUUGAAACUCAAAUGAAUCACGGGUCC
rnacentral:rRNA from 1 species